UACGUAGGGGGCAAGCGUUGUCCGGAAUCAUUGGGCGUAAAGAGCGUGUAGGCGGCCAGAUAAGUCCGGUGUGAAAGUCACAGGCUCAGCCUGUGAAUGCCGCUGGAAACUGUCUGGCUAGAGUCCGGAAGGGGCGAGUGGAAUUCCUGGUGUAGCGGUGAAAUGCGCAGAUAUCAGGAGGAACACCAAUGGCGAAGGCAGCUCGCUGGAACGGUACUGACGCUGAGGCGCGAAAGCGUGGGGAGCGAACAGG
rnacentral:rRNA from 1 species